UUGCACAAGUUGUAGCUUGGAUGGGAAGGGGAAAAAGGAGGAUCGUAGGAUGCUGAGCUCUCUUAUCCAGCACAGAGCAGCAGGACACACGGGCUAUGCAGAUCAUCUCAAGGAAAUAAAAAACAUCAUUCUGGCUUCAUUUGUGUGCAUCUGCUGGAUCUCUCUGCUA